UCAAACUUGGUCAUUUAGAGGAAGUAAAAGUCGUAACAAGGUUUCCGUAGGUGAACCUGCGGAAGGAUCAUUAUCGAUUCUGAAGGAUGUGCUGGCUUAAUUGCAUGUGCACUCCGAAAUCUUAUCCACCUGUGAACCUAUAGUAGUCAUUGGCAGAGAAGGGUUCACGCAAGUGUCCCUUUAAAGUCUUUGAUUACGUUUUUAUACACUCUUAAUAAUUUAAAGAAUGUUUAAUUGACUUGAUUAAACCCAAGUUAAAAUUUAAAACAACUUUCAACAAUGGAUCUCUUGGUUCUCGCAUCGAUGAAGAACGCAGC
rnacentral:misc_RNA from 1 species